GAUGAAGAACGCAGCAAAAUGCGAUAAGUAAUGUGAAUUGCAGAAUUCAGUGAAUCAUCGAAUCUUUGAACGCACAUUGCGCCCGCUAGUAUUCCGGCGGGCAUGCCUGUUCGAGCGUCAUUUCAACCCUCAAGCCCCCGGGUUUGGUGUUGGGGAUCGGCUCUGCCCUUCUGGGCGGUGCCGCCCCCGAAAUACAUUGGCGGUCUCGCUGCAGCCUCCAUUGCGUAGUAGCUAACACCUCGCAACUGGAACGCGGCGCGGCCAUGCCGUAAAACCCCAACUUCUGAAUGUUGACCUCGGAUCAGGUAGGAAUACCCGCUGAACUUAAGCAUAUCAAUAAGCGGAGGA
rnacentral:misc_RNA from 1 species